rnacentral:rRNA from 1 species
AGGAAAAGAAACUAACAAGGAUUUCCCCAGUAACGGCGAGUGAAGCGGGAAAAGCCCAGCACCGAAUCCCCCAGUGUCAUGCUGGCGGGAACUGUGGUGUGUGGGACGCCACCAGUCGUGCGUGCGAGCGCCGAAGUUCUCCUGAUCGAGGCUUCACCCAGAGCGGGUGUAAGGCCUUUGCUGGUGCUUCGCUGUGCGGCCGCGAGCGUCUCAGGAGUCGGGUUGUUUGGGAAUGCAGCCCAAAGUGGGUGGUAAACUCCAUCUAAGGCUAAAUACUGGCACGAGUCCGAUAGCGGACAAGUACCGUGAGGAAAGUUGAAAAGAACUUUGAAGAGAGA